UUUGUCCAGAAGCUAUGUUGGUCCCUUUGUCCAGAAGCUAUGUUGUUCCCUUUGUCCAGAAGCUAUGUUGGUCCCUUUGUCCAGAAGCUAUGUUGGUCCCUUUGUCCAGAAGCUAUGUUGGUCCCUUUGUCCAGAAGCUAUGUUGGUCCCUUUGUCCAGAAGCUAUGUUGGUCCCUUUGUCCAGAAGCUAUGUUGGUCCCUUUGUCCAGAAGCUAUGUUGGUCCCUUAGUCCAGAAGCUAUGUUGGUCCCUUUGUCCAGAAGCUAUGUUGGUCCCUUAGUCCAGAAGCUUGUACAAAGCAAUAGCUACACCAUUUUUUUGUCAACACUUACCACAACCUGCAUGAACAUACACACUGAAGCUUGCACAGCAUAAAAGGUGGAGAGUCAGACCGUAGCAUUCUCUGGGUGAUAACUAGUGUUACUUGGCUGUCAUUAACUGAGUAAUAAUUUCAUUGUUAGUCCACGUCUGUUGUUUACAAAGCAUGUGACAAAUACAAUUGGAUUUGAUUUGAUUAACACCGUGCAAUAAACAGUGGAUGUUUCAUACUGUA